rnacentral:lncRNA from 1 species
AUAGAUAUGCAUGUAAUACUAAUUGGUAACUUUAGAAAAAUUAAUACAUACAUUUUGAACCUAUAAAUUCUAAAAUACAAUGAGUUAAAGUGGUAAAAACUUAAUAGCUGAACCAGUCAAAUUAAAAUGUGGAUCCAGCUUACACAGUUGCUGGAAACGGUGUUACAAGUCAACAAAAGUUUGCUUAAUUUACUUAUACAUAAUACACAACAACAAGAAGAAAAAGAAGACAGAGGGGUGUAGCAACUAGCGAACCGAUACAUAUAAUCUUUCUAUUAGCUUUGGCUUUGUUCAGAAAGCAAUGAUGAAAGAACAUAGACAAUGUUUUGCCAUCUUUUUCUUCAUUUAUCUUGUCUUCUGUUCUUCUCAAUUCGCCAUAUCCCAACGUUUAGUGAAUUUCAUUUCUGGUGUUCCCACUUUGUGGAUCAACAGGCCAUCCAUCGGGAGUAAUUUCAGUAGAGGCAUCCUUAAUUAUACACCUAUCCUUCUGGAAGGAAAUGCCGGCCUACGAUUCCUCUAUGGUUUCUCUUGCAAUUUCGAUCACACAAAAUGCUUUCUUGGUAUCUCGUUAGUAUUAUACAACAGCACUGGUGAGACCAUUUAUAUAGAGGGGGGAAAGUUAGUUUGGUCUGCUAAUCGAGACCAUCCAGUGCAAGUCAAUGCAACCUUGCAACUAGGCCGAGAUGGCAACUUGGUCUUGGCUGAUUCUGAUGGCACUCUUGUUUGGUCCACUAACACUACUGGAAAAUCUGUUUCAGGCUUAAACUUGACAGAAACGGGGAAUCUCGUGCUCUUUGAUACGACCAACCGCACAGUUUGGCAGUCUUUUGAUCAUCCUACAGAUUGUUUGCUCCCCGGGAAGAAUUUGGUUUCUGGUCAGAACCUAACAGCAAACUGUUGGUGUUUUUUUAAAAAUGGGGCAGCACAAACAGAUUGAAAAUGUCUCUCAAUAGAUUGAAAUGACUUUCAAUAGCUUUCAAUGAAUUUAUUAAGCAUUGAGGGGCUUUAAAUAGCCAACAUAAAACACAUAUUCUGCAUAAUUUAAAAUUUAAACACCCUAAAAUAUCUCAACAACAUAAACAAACUAACUAAAAUUCAAAAUUCAAAUUUAUUCAAACUAAAUAACUUAUUUUGCUAAAAGUUACUGCAGUAACUAAAAGCAAACUUCAACAAAGCAUUUCAGCAGACAAUUCGAGUCAAGGUUUAUUUUCUCUUACUGUUCUCAAUGGAAGCUGGGCCACAUACAUAGAUUCUGAUCCACCUCAGUAUUACUACACUUCAGAAAAUCCCAAUAGUCCUUAUUGGAGUUUUGAUGGUCAUACCCUUACUGCUUUACAAUAUCCUCCUACAUCGAUAGCUCAAUACAUACAGCUUGGGCAUGAUGGACAUUUACGCGUAUACCAAUUGGACAACCUUGAACAGAAUUUGGUUUCUGGUCAGAAGCUGACAGCAAGCGUUUCAGCAGACAAUUCGAGUCAAGGUUUAUUUUCUCUUACUGUUCUCAAUGGAAGCUGGGCCACAUACAUAGAUUCUGAUCCACCUCAGUAUUACUACACUUCAGAAAAUCCCAAUAGUCCUUAUUGGAGUUUUGAUGGUCAUACCCUUACUGCUUUACAAUAUCCUCCUACAUCGAUAGCUCAAUACAUACAGCUUGGGCAUGAUGGACAUUUACGCGUAUACCAAUUGGACAACCUUGAAAAAAAUAUGCUCGGCCUUAAUUGGAAAGAGGUAGGUGACAUUUUGACACUCUCUGACUGUAGGUACCCAAUGGUGUGUGGGAGAUACAGCAUUUGUGUAGAUGGAGGACAAUGUACUUGUCCAGUUGAAGUUAACUUCUUCAAGCCAUUUUCUGAGAGGAUGCCUAAUCUCGGAUGCACUGAGCUGACGCCCAUUUCUUGUGACUCUUUGCAGUAUCAUAGUCUUGUAGAGCUAAAGAAUACUGACUAUUUUUCAUUUCGGUUCAAUGAUGAACUAAACUCGAGCGUAUUUUGGCUUAAAGGGAAAAAGAUUGAAGAUUGCCAAAGGGCAUGUCUGAGUAACUGUUCUUGCAAAGCUGCUGUUUAUGAUCCGUAUCUGAAUGUGAGUCUACUACGAGGGAACUGUUUGUUACUGAAUGAAGUCUUCUCUCUCAUAGACAGUGCAGUAGGAAGCGGCACGACAGUUUUUCUUAAGGUGCAGAAUUCCUCAAAUGCACCAGUCAUUUCCCCUAGACAGAAAUUGCCUUUCAAAGUUAUCAUAGGAUGUACUUUGAUUGGGAUAAUUUUGAUUCUUUCAGUUUGUUCUGCUCUUUCCAAAAAGAGAUCGGAGAAACGCAAAGCUGGUGAUUUUCUGGAUCUAGAACCAAUCUUACCGGGAAUCCUAAUUCGAUUCUCUUACAAUGAGCUGAAAAUAAUUACACAAGAUUUCAGCAUAAAGCUCGGGAAAGGAGGAUUUGGCUCUGUAUAUGAAGGAACACUGAGAAAUGGCACCAAAAUAGCUGUGAAGCAUCUGGAUGGAGUAGGUCAAGUAAAGGAAUCAUUCUUAACAGAAGUAAAGACAGUCGGUGGCAUUCACCAUAUCAAUCUGGUAAAACUCCUUGGAUAUUGUGCCGAAAAAAGCCACAGGCUUCUAAUCUAUGAGUACAUGGUGAAUGGAUCGUUGGAUAGGUGGAUCACGCAAGAAAAUGGGCUUACAUGGAACACAAGGCAGAGGAUAAUAUCAGAUAUUGCGAAAGGAUUAGCUUAUCUACAUGAGGAUUGCAGCCAUAAGAUAAUUCAUUUGGACAUUAAACCACAAAACAUCCUUAUAGAUCAAAAUUUCAAUGCUAAGAUAUCUGAUUUUGGUCUGUCGAAGCUAAUUGAGAAAGACAAAAGCAAAGUUGUGACUAGAAUGAGAGGAACGCCGGGGUAUAUAGCCCCUGAAUGGUUGAGCUCAAUAAUCACUGAAAAAGUUGAUGUGUAUGCUUUUGGAAUUGUGCUCUUGGAAACUCUCUGUGGACGAAAGAAUUUGGACUGGUCCCAAACUGAUGAAGAAGAUGUCCAUUUGCUAACUGUUUUUACGAGAAAAGCAGAACAAGAGCAGCUCACAGAUAUGGUUGACAGAAACGAGGAUAUGCAGCUCCACAGAGAAGCAGUGACAGAAAUGAUGAGCCUUGCUGCGUGGUGUCUACAGGGCGAUUUCUCCAAGAGGCCUUCCAUGUCAUUGGUGGUUAAGGCACUCGAAGGUUUGGUGACUGUUGAAACCAACUUAGAUUAUAAUUUCAGAAAUGUACCUAAGGUUGGGGCAGGCAACCAACCGAGGGAAGCCGCUAUCAGCUCAAAAUUGCCAUCAGUUUUAUCGGGACCGAGGUAAACAGUAUGUCUAAUUCUAGCACAAAUUCUUACGGUGUAUUAGAUUACAAUUCAUGAAUGUAAUAUUCAGUAACUUUGCAUUAGAUUUUUUGAGUUUCAUGUAAUUAUCAUGUAGAAGCUCCUCAAUUCAUAUGUGACAGGAGAUAUAAUAUUGCAUUAGCUUUUCCUCAUUUUUUGUAAGGGAAGUAUCAAGACUCGAGAACAGCAUGAAUCGGAUAUCGAGGGCCAGAUGCUCUGCCAAUUACAGAAACAAAAAAUUAUCUUAAACAUGAUUGUAUGGUAUUCAUACUGUUAAAAUAAAUUCAGUUUAAAUUGGGAAAAGACUCAAAUAUGUCACGGAACUAUUAAAAAUGUGCCAUAUAUUAAAAGCUGGCUCAUCUAUACAAAAAUACAUCUAGUUCAGCAAAACCAUUUUUGCCGCGUGCCCUCUUAUUAGAGGUUCACGUCAAGUAAUUAAAAAGACUCAAUAUUUAAUUAACACUCGACCUAUUUAAAUAAAACCCGACCCAUCUCCUAACCCAUUUCCCUUUAUCCAACCCACAUUAUGUACUUGCAAACAUUAAAAUCAUCAAAUUCCAAUAUUGAAAGUUAUAACUUGGAAAUGGUCAAAAUGGUCCCGUCAGUGGAAAGAUAGAGCCCAACCCCAUUAUUUUCCUAAAAAGUAUUUUCCUUCGUACCGACCACACAAACACACUCAUAGUCAAUUAAGUUUGGAAAAAAAUAGCACAUUGAAAAAGUUUUUUGAGGUCCCUCUGUAUAUUGACUGGGCAAAGAUUAAGAUAUUUUGUACAUUGGAACAUCAAUUUUGACUUGGACUUUGGAAUUUAGGGCACAUCCCAUUCAGUACAAGACUUGACAUGAAUCUUAAUGAGGAGGAAAGUGCUUAACAAUUCCAAAUUAAUUGUUAGUAACAAUUUGUAACAUUACUUGGAAUUAUAUGGAAUGUUGUAGACAUUCUGAAAUUGCACUUGUCUCGAGAUAUGACGAGGCACAAACACUGUCUUGCCAAUAUUAGUUAUUGGUAUUCUUGAAUUAUUUUCCAUCACCAUUACUCGAUCGCCUUUAUAUUUGUAAUUUGCUUAUGUUCAUCAAAUUUUUCUCGUCACUGGUCAUGUGAUUGGAACAUCCUGAAUCAACUACCUAUCAUUUUAAUAAUCACCAAGCUUUCGUUAUUUGAUCAGGCGCCCCUCCCUGUAUAUUUAGCGGUACUGCUCCACUACUUGCCGUACAGUUAGUGAAACAGGGCAGAAAAUGCUGAAAGAUGUGAUAAGUUUUUUUUUUUUUUUGAAUGGUGAGGGUCGGGUAUGGAGUGAGGUAAGGAAAAAAAUAUAAUUGGAGGAAAAUAAGUUUAUUUGAAAAGCAUUUUCCAAAAUAUUUAAAUCAAUCAUGAGAAAAUUAAAAAACAUUUUCUAGAAUGAGAGAUAAAAUGAGAAAAGUAAAAGAGAAAGUAAAGAUAUUUAAAAAAAAAGAAAAAAGAAAAGUCAAAGAUGAUUUUAUUUUUGGAGGAAAAUUUAGAUGGUUUUAUAGCGAGUCCGGAACCUAAAUAAGCCAAAAAAAAUAAAAGUGACCAAAAUAAGUCAUUAUUCUAGUAAGUAACUAAAAUAGGCUUAGUGGAAGAAAUUUUUUUGUUUUAUGCAAUAUUCCAAACGUUUUCUGUUAGUCUCAUAACGUGUAUAUUUUAAUAUAUAACAGAGCUGUUUCUUACACUUUGUAAAGUGUAUUUUUUUCUUACACUUUGUAAAGUGGAAGUUUUUCGUACACUUAAGUUGAGAUUGAUAGCUCAGCUUUAUUCUUAGAUUUUGUAUUUUUGCAUUACUUAAGCAUCCUCAUUUGUAGUAUCAGCAUAGAGUGUAUCAUAAACUCUAUGACGAUCACAGAAUAUCUAGUUUUCUCUAGCUCUUAUUUUCUUCAUGCUUGUUAAUUAGUAGAGGUUCGUUACCUCAUUAAGAUUAGUAAGGUAAGGCCUAGCCUCCCUUUCUUGUACUUUUCUCUUUAUUAAUAAAACUAGACCUAGGCACACAUUGCCUAGCGGAAUUGUUUUUUUAAAAAAAAACGUUUUUCUUACACUUUAUAAAGUGGAAGAAAGAAUUUUGUUUUACAAAGAGGAAUAUUUUUCACGUUUUGUAUUAAAUUGUAUCUCUUUAUGAAGCUUUUGAGUGUUUGUGAUACAAUUAUAUUGAUUUGACAUAUCAUUAAAACGGAAAAAAUUAUUACAUUAUGCAUUUUUAUUUUUUAUUCUGAAAGUUCUUCCAAGCUCUAUUUAAGGAAAAAACUAUUACAUUAUGUAUCAUAAGUGUUAACUUGAUUUGAUCUAUGUAGUCAUUUGGAAGUUGGAACCCUCAAAAAAUCGGUCAACGAUUCGUUACUAUAGAUAAUCCACUCUCCAAAAUUUACUUGUACUUGUGACAAAAAUGAAGUAGAGUAUUUUUCGACUAUAAUCAAAUUAUAAUCAGUACUAUUUAUACCCAUUUUUUUUAUAAAUUGAUGAAAGAAAUUUAUGAUAUCGGACAUUAAUUAAAUAUUUAACAUUAUGUUUGGGAAGACAAUUAUAAUAAACGGUAUUUUCGUCAUGUAUAAUUUCGCCAUCCCAAUAAAUCGAAACUGUUACUUUUGACUUAGAAGACAUUUUUUUUGUGAAUGAAAUGAAGAAAAAUAGAAGACUAAAGAUGUUGAAAGUGCUAUGUUUGAACGUCCUUAAAUAGAGCUUGAGGAGUUCUCAGAAUAAAAAUAUAAGUAUACAUAAUGUAAUAUUCCUCUUUGUAAAACAAAAAUUUUUCUUCCACUUUAUGAAGUGUGAGAAAAACUUCCACUUUACAAAGUGUAAGAAAAACUUCCGUUAUAUAUUAAAAUAUACACGUUAUGAGACUAACGGAAAACGUUUGAAAUAUUACAUAAAACAGAAUUUUUUCUUGCACUAAGCCUGUUUUAUUUACUUACUAGAAUAGUGGCUUAUUUUGAUCACUUUUAUUUUUUUGUGGCUUAUUUAGGUUCCGGACUCUUUUAUAGCCAAUAGGAUAUUGUGGUCUUUUAUCCUCUGUCGUGCCACAAAAAAGCAUCGUGCCAUUUAGUUUUACCGUAUUUUGUACGGUUGAACAAUAACUAAUAGCCAGUCCCAUUCAGAAGAAGACUUGACUUGAACCUGAUUGAGGAGGAAAGUUUUUUUCCCGAUAAAAAGGUGACAUGACUUGCUAUUCAAUUGUUAGCAACAAUUUGUAACAUUGCUGUUAAAAUUAUAAAAUGAAAGACAUUGACAUGUAAACGUUACAUGAUUAUCUGCUUACGGAUUGUUGCACAUGCGAACAUUUGAGCGAAUGAAAGGAGUGUUACAGGAACAGACGUUAGGAAAGUAAUAACACUGGGAAACAACUGAAUUUAGUAUUUUUAACAUGAAAAAUAGAUUAGUAUGUAAAACAAAUUGGUAACUUUUAAAACAAUAAUACAUACAUUUUGAACUUGUAAUUUUUAAAAUAUAAUGAUCGUUAAGUGGUAAAAUCUUAAUAGCUUAACCAGUCAAAUUAAAAUGUGGAUCCAGUUUACAAAGUUGCUGGAAAGGGUGUUACAAGUCAACAAAAGUUUGCUUUAUUUACUUACAGAUAUAAGUGUCAACAACACACCUAAACUGUACUUUUUUUUUAGUUUUAUAUCUAAAUUAUUGAGAGUGUAACUAUCACUUAUUAGUUUGAAAAAUACACAUCUCUCUUUUAUAACACUCUCAUCAUGUGUGUGUGAUACACUCUCUAUUUUACUUAAAAAAAUUGUCACAUCAUACUUCACAUGGACAAAACAUCUCAUCUUGGCAAAAAUUAAAUAAAUUAAGUAUUAGUUAAAAUUAAAGAUUAAAAAAUUAUUUUCCCAAAAAAUUAAUUUGUUUAUAAAAUAAAAUGUAAAUUUUUUUUUUACCCCACUCCAUCAAUUCCUCUCACCGUACCCUCCCCCUCCCCCCUCAUUUUUUAAGUUUAAAUUUCUUUUAUAAAAGUAUAUAAACUUUUUUUACUUCAUCUCCCCCCUCCCCCUCUACAAAUACUAAUUUAGCUAUCAUUUUAUUUUUUAAAAAUAAAAAUUCUACCCACUCCACCUAACCGUCCGCUUCCAAUUUUUUUCUCGUUUUGUGUUAGAUAUAUAUAUAUCAAAAAUAUGUUUUACUUGCUGCGGCAAGACUACUUUUAAAAUAAAUUUUUUAUUUAUGUUAUAUUCGGUAUGAAAAAAUUCCUAAAAAUAUAUGUACAUAUCAAACACAUAACGAGAAAAAUGUAAAAAUAAAUAAAUAAAUUAGUAAAUAGGAUGGAGUAGAAUUUUUAUUUUUUAAAAAUAAAAUAAUAUCAAUUUUUUUUGGGGGGAGGGGUGGGGGGAUGGCUGUGGUUUUCUUUUUUUGGGAGGGUGAAGUAUGAAUUUUUAUAAAUAUAUUAUAAAAGAUUAUUUAAAAAAUAAUAAUAAGAUUAUGGGGUGGAGGGGGGUGGAGGAGGGUGUACGGGGAGGAGGUAGUGAAGUGGAGUAAGAAAAAUAAUUUAAAUUUUAUUUUAAAAAAAACAUUUUUUUGGGGGAUAGUAAUACUUAAAUCUUUAAUUUUUUAUUAAUAUUAAUAGUUUAUUAUUUAAUUUUUGUCAAGGUGGAAUAUUUUAUCCAUGAGGAAUGUCACGUGUCAAGGUUUUUUUAAAAUAAAAUAGAGAGUGCAUUCUCAAAGUAAUAAGUGAUAGUUUAGAUAUGAAACUAAUUUUUUUUUAACUUAAGUGUGUUUUUGACACUUAUCUAUUACUUAUAGAAGUGGCAAAAUAGGUAUUUAAUACGAGUAUCCACUCAUAUUUACCCAUUUUAAAUGGGUUGGGUAUCCAACUCAUUUAAAAUAGGAAAAAUUAUAGAAAUCCCGCCUUUUAGUUUACUUAUAACCAUUAUCCCCAUAAUUUUUACAAAUCUCCAAAAUCCCUCAUUUUCGCGCAUCAGAUUAGUGUAUCUCGCGCAUCAGAUUAGUGUAUCAUGUAUAAAAUGUAAUGUAUCUUACUUAACGAUUAAUGUAUCUCGCGCAUCAGAUUAAUGUAUCAACGCUUAUAUUAUUGUAUUCGUUUGAGGGGUUUCUGUAAUUAUAAACUUUUAAGGGAUAGAUUGUAAUUUUGCCUUAAAAGUAUGUGAUUUAUGUAAUUUGCUCUUUAAAAAUGGGUAAAAACGAGUAAUACUCAAAUACCCAUUUAAAAGUGGGUAGUUAAAUGGGUAAUAUGGGUAAAAAAUGUUCAUUCAUAAAAAAAAAAAAGAAAAGUAAUUAGAGGUGGGUGGUAAAAAAAGCUUUUUAUUUUUUUUUAGAUAGNNNNNNNGGGGUUAGGGGGUGGGUGGGUUGGCGGGGGGAAGGGGGAGUCGGAGUAGUAAAAAAAUAAUAAUUUUUGAGGCGUUGGAGUUGGGGGUAGGGAUGGGGGUGGGCAGGUUAAAUUUAAAAGUUCUAAGUAUUUUUUUCGUGGGGUGUGGGGUGUGGGUUGAAGAGUAUAUUUUGCUUUUGAAGCUUUUAACAUGAUCCCUAUAAUAAUAUGGGUAAAUAUGGAUACUCAUAUUACCCAUUGAGGAACUCGUUUUUAUCCAUCUAAAAUAUGAGUUGAGUAGAGUAUUUUACCCAUUUUUAUUAACUCAUUUUCGAUCAACUCAUAUUCGACUCAACUUGCUAGUUUGCCACUCCUACUUAUACAUAAUACGAACAAGAAGAAGACUGAGGGAGUAGUAACAAGCAAACCGAUACAUAUAAUCUUUCUAUUAGCUUUGGCUUUGUUGAGAAAGCAAUGAUGGAAGAACAUAGACAAUAUUUUCGUAUCCUUUUCUUCAUUUAUCUUCUCUUCUGUUCUUCUCAAUUCGCUAUAUCCCAACGUUUAGUGAAUUUCAUUUCCGGUGUUCCCACUUUGUGGAUCAACAAACUUACUUAUACACCCAUCCUUCUGGAACGAAAUACUGGCCUACAAUUCCUCUACGGCUUCUCUUGCAAUUUCUAUCCGACAGAAUGCUUUCUUGGUAUCUCAUUAGUAGUUUACAACAGCACCGCUGGUGAGACCAUUUAUAUAGAGGGAGGACACUUAGUUUGGUCUGCUAAUCGAGACCGUCCAGAGAAAGCCAAUGCAACCUUGCAACUAGGCCAAGAUGGCAACUUGGUGUUCGCAGACUCUGAUAGCACUCUUGUUUGGUCCAGUAAUACCACUGGAAAAUCUGUUUCUGGCUUUAACUUGACAGAAACGGGGAAUCUCAUGCUCUUUGAUACGACCAACCGCACAGUUUGGCAGUCUUUUGAUCAUCCUACAGAUUGUUUGCUCCCCGGGAAGAAUUUGGUUUCUG